GUAGGCGAACCUGCGGAAAAAUCAUUAACUCGUAUCCAACGUUAAACCCCUGUGAACCUUAAGACGCCGCUCCUAGGGCUCAGUCGCGAAAACUAGCAAUCCCCUGUACUCGUCCGAGAAAUGUAAGGGGUGGCAGUGCACCCUAGUCAGAGCGCUUGGAGUUAGUGGCCUGUUUUUCCCCAAGCUGCCAAUGAGUGAAAGUGUCAUUGGUUUGUUUCGCCUAAACAGCGAUCACUGUAGGUCGAUCACCGACCGGUGAAAUAAGCAACAGAAGCUUUAAUGCUUCCCUCACCGCCCAACUAUUGCCGCCUGCCGCUAACAACGCCGGGUAUUUAAAAACGUACUAAACAACUGUUAACAAUGGAUAUCUUGGUUCUC
rnacentral:misc_RNA from 1 species